ensembl:lncRNA
GUCCUCAACAAGGAGCAGUGUCACGAUGGUCAUGUUAUGGAUUAUAUUGCUUUUACUUCAUCAAGGAUAUACUCUAGUUCCAGUGAAAACUGUUCAGCUUGGUGAACCAGCGAACAUAACAUGUGCUUUGCCCAAUGUGGUCAGCAGUAGCGGAGUCCACUGGUACAAGCAGAGUGUCGGAGAUACUCUCAAAUUAAUAGUGUCACUGUAUGAAAGUGCAGCACCCGAGUAUGGUCAAGAAAUAUUUAAAUCAAGAUUUCAAGCACAUUAUGAUAAGAAAUUUAGCAACCUGACCAUUUUGAAAGCAGUCCAAGACGAUGAGGGAAUCUAUCACUGUGGAAUGAUAGAAUGGAUUAAUCCUGAAUGGACUGGAACAUAUUUGUUAGUUAAAGGAAAUAAUCAGACAGCAUCAAAUUAUACUGUUGUUCAAUGGCCAACAGUGUUAAA